UGGCAAAUUUUCUUUUUCUCUCCUUUGGCU
rnacentral:piRNA from 1 species